rnacentral:rRNA from 1 species
AUGAACGCUGGCGGCAGGCUUAACACAUGCAAGUCGAGCGGGGACGACUCGAAUAGCUUGCUAUCAGGCGUCGAGCGGCGGACGGGUGAGUAAUACUUAGGAAUCUACCUAGUAGUGGGGGAUAGCUCGGGGAAACUCGAAUUAAUACCGCAUACGUCCUACGGGAGAAAGCAGGGGAUCAUUAGACCUUGCGCUAUUAGAUGAGCCUAAGUCGGAUUAGCUAGAUGGUGGGGUAAAGGCCUACCAUGGCGACGAUCUGUAGCUGGUCUGAGAGGAUGAUCAGCCACACCGGGACUGAGACACGGCCCGGACUCCUACGGGAGGCAGCAGUGGGGAAUAUUGGACAAUGGGGGGAACCCUGAUCCAGCCAUGCCGCGUGUGUGAAGAAGGCCUUUUGGUUGUAAAGCACUUUAAGCAGUGAAGAAGACUCUUCGGUUAAUACCCGGGGACGAUGACAUUAGCUGCAGAAUAAGCACCGGCUAACUCUGUGCCAGCAGCCGCGGUAAUACAGAGGGUGCAAGCGUUAAUCGGAAUUACUGGGCGUAAAGCGAGCGUAGGUGGCUUGAUAAGUCAGAUGUGAAAUCCCCGGGCUUAACCUGGGAACUGCAUCUGAAACUGUUAGGCUAGAGUAGGUGAGAGGGAAGUAGAAUUUCAGGUGUAGCGGUGAAAUGCGUAGAGAUCUGAAGGAAUACCGAUGGCGAAGGCAGCUUCCUGGCAUCAUACUGACACUGAGGCUCGAAAGCGUGGGUAGCAAACAGGAUUAGAUACCCUGGUAGUCCACGCCGUAAACGAUGUCUACUAGUCGUUGGGUCCCUUGAGGACUUAGUGACGCAGCUAACGCAAUAAGUAGACCGCCUGGGGAGUACGGCCGCAGGUAAAACUCAAAUGAAUUGACGGGGGCCCGCACAAGCGGUGGAGCAUGUGGUUUAAUUCGAUGCAACGCGAAGAACCUUACCUGGUCUUGACAUACACAGAAUCUUGUAGAGAUACGAAAGUGCCUUCGGAA